rnacentral:tRNA from 2 species
CGGGGUGUAGCUCAGCUUGGUAGAGCGCCGUCUUCGGGAGGCGGAAGUCGCUGGUUCAAAUCCAGUCACCCCGACCA